rnacentral:rRNA from 1 species
AGGAAUAUUGGUCAAUGGGCGAGAGCCUGAACCAGCCAAGUAGCGUGAAGGAUGACUGCCCUAUGGGUUGUAAACUUCUUUUAUAAAGGAAUAAAGUCGGGUAUGCAUACCCGUUUGCAUGUACUUUAUGAAUAAGGAUCGGCUAACUCCGUGCCAGCAGCCGCGGUAAUACGGAGGAUCCGAGCGUUAUCCGGAUUUAUUGGGUUUAAAGGGAGCGUAGAUGGAUGUUUAAGUCAGUUGUGAAAGUUUGCGGCUCAACCGUAAAAUUGCAGUUGAUACUGGAUAUCUUGAGUGCAGUUGAGGCAGGCGGAAUUCGUGGUGUAGCGGUGAAAUGCUUAGAUAUCACGAAGAACUCCGAUUGCGAAGGCAGCCUGCUAAGCUGCAACUGACAUUGAGGCUCGAAAGUGUGGGUAUCAAACAGGAUUAGAUACCCUGGUAGUCCACACGGUAAACGAUGAAUACUCGCUGUUUGCGAUAUACGGCAAGCGGCCAAGCGAAAGCGUUAAGUAUUCCACCUGGGGAGUACGCCGGCAACGGUGAAACUCAAAGGAAUUGACGGGGGCCCGCACAAGCGGAGGAACAUGUGGUUUAAUUCGAUGAUACGCGAGGAACCUUACCCGGGCUUAAAUUGCAGAUGAAUUACGGUGAAAGCCGUAAGCCGCAAGGCAUCUGUGAAGGUGCUGCAUGGUUGUCGUCAGCUCGUGCCGUGAGGUGUCGGCUUAAGUGCCAUAACGAGCGCAACCCUUGUUGUCAGUUACUAACAGGUUCUGCUGAGGACUCUGACAAGACUGCCAUCGUAAGAUGUGAGGAAGGUGGGGAUGACGUCAAAUCAGCACGGCCCUUACGUCCGGGGCUACACACGUGUUACAAUGGGGGGUACAGAGGGCCGCUACCACGCGAGUGGAUGCCAAUCCCAAAAACCUCUCUCAGUUCGGACUGGAGUCUGCAACCCGACUCCACGAAGCUGGAUUCGCUAGUAAUCGCGCAUCAGCCACGGCGCGGUGAAUACGUUCCCG